rnacentral:rRNA from 1 species
AUGGCCGGCUGCGGAGGCAAGGAUGGCCUGUACGCCGUGCUCGGCGUCUCCAGCGACUGCUCCGACGCAGAGCUGCGCAGCGCCUACAGGAAGCUCUCCAUGAAAUGGCACCCGGACAAAUGCGGCUCCGGCGGCGUGGAGGCUCCGGCUAGCUGCGACAGACAAAUGAGGGUGCAGGAGACAUACUGGGAGACAUCCUGGAGGCCAUGA